UCGACCGUCAACAAUUUUAUACAAAUUCAGAUUCUUUCAUUGCCCACGAAACCUCAAUUUCAUUCAACCUCACCACGCCACCCUUGCCCCACCAUCUGCAACAGUCGACCUCACCAACGCCAUCAAUCCAAACCAACUGCCAUAGUCAGCCGUGACCGCCUCGCCGCACCAUUCACUUUCCGUUCAGCCCCGUUAACCUUUGUUCGCCAAAGUUUCGGUCGCACCGCAUUCUUCGCCACAAACCAGUCACCACAACAGUUCUUGGCUAGUCGUAACCGGACGAUCGGGACUUUGAACCAGCAUCGCCUCUUGAUCUAUCCUACUCAUUCCGAUUUGUGGUGGUUCGGACAGUUGUUGAGGACGACUCGUUUUGUUUCCGCUUUAUAUUGCUGAUUUAAGGUACGGAUUCUGUUUUCUUUCAUCGUAGU